GAACUUUUUUUUAAUAUAAAGGAAAGCUCUUGUAAUUGACUUUUAUGGGGCCUCCCA
rnacentral:rRNA from 1 species